AUUCUGUGUAUCGACUAAAUAUACCCAUUCUGAGUACCUUGCCUGUUGCUUCCAUGGAGCCUGACACUUGUCACUCUGGGGAUUUACAUCCCGAGGGAGCCUCCGUGGAAGGUAAUCAAUUAACUCUUGAAUCCAAUGUCAUCUGUCUGAUAAUGUUUAUAACAAAUGUUAAAACUUUCAACAACGGAUCUCUUGGUUCUCGCAUCGAUGAAGAACGCAGCGAAAUGCGAUAAGUAGUGUGAAUUGCAGAAUUCAGUGAAUCAUCGAAUCUUUGAACGCACAUUGCGCCUCCUGGUAUUCCGGGAGGCAUGCCUGUUCGAGCGUCAUUAAAUACCACUCAAGCUCUUCUGCUUGGUCAUGGAAGAAGAGUAUGCUUGCAUCCUCUCUUCUGAAAUCGAAUGGCGGACUGCCUCAUGUGCCUCGCGUAGUAAGUUCAUCUUUUCGCUUGGAGUGUGAGAUAGUCUCGCCAUCAACCCCCAUACUUCUAAGGUUGACCUCGGAUCAGGUAGGGAUACCCGCUGAACUUAAGCAUAUCAAUAAGGCGGAGGAA
rnacentral:rRNA from 1 species